GACGAACGCUGGCGGCGUGCUUAACACAUGCAAGUCGAGCGGUAAGGCCACUUCGGUGGUACACGAGCGGCGAACGGGUGAGUAACACGUGAGUAAUCUGCCCUUCACUUCGGGAUAAGACCAGGAAACGGGGUCUAAUACCGGAUACGACGUCCGCCCGCAUGGGUGGGCGUGGAAAGUUCUUUCGGUGGGGGAUGUGCUCGCGGCCUAUCAGCUUGUUGGUGGGGUAAUGGCCUACCAAGGCUUUGACGGGUAGCCGGCCUGAGAGGGUGACCGGCCACACUGGGACUGAGACACGGCCCAGACUCCUACGGGAGGCAGCAGUGGGGAAUAUUGGACAAUGGGCGGAAGCCUGAUCCAGCAACGCCGCGUGAGGGAUGACGGCCUUCGGGUUGUAAACCUCUUUCGUCAUCGACGAAGCCCGGUGUUUCAUCCGGGUGACGGUAGGUGGGGAAGAAGCACCGGCCAACUACGUGCCAGCAGCCGCGGUAAGAC
rnacentral:rRNA from 1 species